CUGUUAUGGACUCCUGGACUGGUCCCAGAAAAAUUUUCCUCUAUUAUUUUCUAGGUAUCUGUCAUUUUGUGCUAUUUGUGUUAUUGCUGAGUAUUAUCCUUAGGUUCGUUUUCAGAAAAGAACGUGAAAGAGAGGGAGAAAGAAAGAAGAGAAAGGCAGAAGUGUCCACAGUGAGACCUAAGCAAUCAAUAUCUUCCAACCGCUUCUCAGAAGAGCAGCCUUAUCAAGCCUGCACAUUUGCUACCAGGCUGCACAUUUUCUACCCUUCUUCAUGUCUGUAUGCCCAAGGGAAGUGUUUCACAGAAGAGAGGAGUUUUUCAAGCUGAUCAAGGAAGCCCCAGGAGGCUGUUUAAUUCAAAUACUCCCCAAAAAUUGCCCCAAGUGUCCUGGCUGCAGAAUGCUAUACAGGAAUGAAAACAAAGACAUCCAAGCCUUGAGCCAUUUAGAAGAGGAAGAAGCCAAAAUCCAUGCCAGAGGUUCGACUGCUGGGUUUACUUAUGGCUUCAGGCACAAAUUAAUGACCUUCAAACAGUACAGUGAUAUCGUCUUGAGCCCUCUACUCAGCCAAUCUGCUUUGCUCUCAGCUGCUGAACCAUGUCUGAUCACCCCCUUUGAAGGGGAACGUGUGAUGUUGAGGAGCAAUGAGAUGUUUGCAGAGCCAUUUGUAGAAAGAGAAGACCAUCAGGUGGAACAAGGAAGCUGUUUUCUGCAGGAGGAGCCUGAAGCCAAGUAUCAAUUUGUUUUGAAACUGAAAUCCAGCCCAAGUCACUGAAGUGAACCGGACCAGCUGGAGCAGCGAGAAAACUGCAAGGCAGCGAUGGCUGUCUGACUGCCUCUGUGCUCCCUGCAGGAGCCUGCAUUUCACCCAUGAAUAUGGCUCCCCUCUUGGGGGGACAGAUUUAUUUUGUUCUUCUCAUCCCUGGUGGUGGGAGGGCUGGGCUUGGAGAUUAGUUUCCAGCUGCUCCAGCCUUCAGUGGUGGGUUUAGGGCAGACUGUGGGGGGAACAGUGGGGGAAGACCUCUCUGUCUGUCCCCGCUCCCAGCUGCUGGUAUGGGGCUGUGUACAUGGAGCUAAUGCAAGGGGAAUUCAUGCAGCCCCAUAAAUAAACAGAAAGAGCUGAAAUAGUAUGUGACA
rnacentral:lncRNA from 1 species